rnacentral:piRNA from 1 species
UGUUAACGCCUGGUUUUCCCUUCGACCUC